CAGAAAGUAGUUUAAACUAGAAUGCCAGCUUUGGGUGUUGGUGGUGAGGUUGAGUGCUUUCUUUCUGA
rnacentral:tRNA from 1 species